UAACAAGUUAUUUUUGGCCUAUUGAGCGUAUUCAAGCCACACACUCUGAUCCACUUUAACUGCAGUUCUGAACCAGGGCAGAGCAGUGGAUUGUGUGGUGGCACAUCAGCCUGGCUGGGAGUACAAAUAAAGCUUGCAAUCUGUAAGGAAGAAAACGAGGGUCUGAGAAACAGAUGCCAAAGUCUGAAGAGAUCCCAUUGAAACAACCCUGAGGGACGAGUGCUGAGGAAAAGUCCCCCUUCGCCUGGGUCCUGUGGGAGGAAAAUCUGGUGUACGAGCCAGAGUGUGCAGCAUCUCCCUGGGAAGUAAGAGCCCUUACUUGCGACUGGUGCAGUACGGGGAGCGCAGCAACAGCUGCAGACUGCAACAAAUUGAGCCUCCCAGCAUCUGUGCACAGGAGGACAGAACCCUUCUGCUGUGGUGCAGUGACGAAGCCCCAGGAUCAUGCCCCAUCUUUAGAGGAGAAGCAGGGAGAGGAGAAAACAGAUCCUGCCUCAAGUACUGAAGCUUCUUUCCACAUCCUUGUGUCAGUGGUUUCACUACUUGUUAGCUUAGUGUAUUUUAACAUCUGGACAUUCAGAGAAUAUAAGAAAGAUGUACCAAUGAAGACACUGACCAACAUUUGGGCCAGGCAAAGGCAGAAUGAGGACUCUUGAGCCUUGGGUGAGCAGUUGAUUCCUGGUUUGUUGCUGAAAGACACAGCUGUCUGGUGCUUCCUACAGUAAGUAACACUUACAGCUCCUGAUGGAAGAAGUAAAAGAGGCUGACUGACUAAGCUAGACGAACUUGUGGUCUUCCUCUUCUUGAAUGGCCUUAACAGAAGUGUAAUUCCUUCUGCAGAUCCAUCCUUUACCUCUCUUUUCUGCACGUCGAAGAGGUGAACAUGAAGUGGAAAAUCAGGUCCCAAGUCUGGCAAGAAUUCACUUGCUAACAAGAAGAAUGUGCUUCGUUAAAUCACAAGGAACAUAACUUGUAAAUAAUUGACCUGAGAGGAGUUGGUGAGAGAGAUGUAUAGCAUUACACUUAGAUCCUUCUGUGACAUUUUUUUUAAUUUGGAUCUUUGUGCUUCUGUUCUUUCUUUGUGAGCCGAAUAAACGUCAAUAUCAAGAGCUUUCCAAGCUCAAGACAAUGCAUUCUCCAUCUUACCUAAACAAAACAAUAGAAGACAAAAGGAGAAGGAAAGCAAAGUUAUUAAAACUGGAACCUAUAAAUCUUUAAACAACUCUGAUAGAAAGAAUAAGCCAACAACUUUGUCAUAAACCACUAGCAUAAGGUUUGGCAUUUACAAGCUACUGCUCUUGUUGCUAGCACUAUUGCAGUGUGGCUCCUUGUGUUUACAGUUCUGCCUAUCCUGAGGUUAAGUUUACUCAGACUGGGAGAUCUUUGGAAUGUAUCUCUGGGAAUUUUUAGCAUACUGCCAUCAUAACCCAUGGCUGAUGUGCUAUAAAAUUUGCUAUACGAGUAAUUUAUACAAUAUUGUUUAUGAAAGUAAAUAUUAAAUGAGCUUUUGGGAUAGAAAAAACAAAUGAGCUCUUGGGGUAAAAUUUUAGCAUUUGAAUGCAGAGACUACAGCAGCCACUUUGCUGGCACAAAAGAGUCACCCUGCUCACUGCUCGUAUCACAUUUAGUUUAAAUCAUGAGCAAAGUACUGAAGUGGGCCCACAAGUGGAAGGAGGAAGCACUAAAUGUUUGUCCUAUACAAUACUGUUGUUUUAAAAGUAUUAGUGAAUGCUAACUCUUAAUUUUAAAAAUAGUGCUGAUUCUUGACAAAGUGUUAUCCUAUGACUAAUAGGGAGAGAGCCUUGCAGGCUCAAUUCAUAUCCAGAUCUAAAGUAAGUACAUGGUGUCAGAAGUUAAGGACCUAAUAGGAUAAACUGAGCCCUUCAUCAUUUCAAGGUAACUGAAAUUUACUUCUUUAUGUGAUUCCUACUAGUAUCCGGAAAAGAAACCUUACUAAUUCUGCAGGAAAACAAGCAUUUCCACAACCCUUACUCCUUAAGUUUGUUGGGAAGCUUGAGCUGUUCAACAGGGCCCCUUUUCCAUCUAGAAAAAAAAAAAGCAGAGUAUUGGAGAUGCUCUUUGUUUGAGUUGUAGACUUCUCAUGUACACUGGGCAACAAAAUGCUCUUAAAUACUGUCUACCAUCUUCUGUGCAAAUAAUAGGCCUAUCUAAAACAGUCUAUUUGUUAAGCUAGAGGGAAACUGUAUGCAGAAAAGUUAGACUUUAGACAGCAUAUUGUACUAUGCACUCUAUGCAUAUCUAUGACGUUAUAUAAGAGAUAAGUGAAAUAAUGUGUAAACAGCUACUGUAUUGCGAGAUAAUUAAUUACUUAUUUGUCUUUUUAACCAAUUAGGCACGUAUUUAAUAUUAUAAUGAUUACUAGAAGCAAGGAAUAUACACAUUCAUGAAGCACUACUGUUUUCUAAUUGAGUUAUAAUAAGAUACAAAUUACUGUGAUUCGUUUUUGCUAUAAGACUAAAUGUGAGUUGUCAAAAUAAAGUUUGCUUGCUUUAAGUGAUGUUUGCAUUUAUGAGGUUUGUAUUUGAAAACUGGUAAGCGAAUGGUCCCUCUAUUUCCGUGUAUUUAUCAAGUUGCUAGAACCAACAAAUAGAUUCUCGGGUCUAUAUAAUACUAUAUAUCAGCACAAACAUAUGAUGAUAUAACACAUAUUUAAUAUUUCAUGUUAGAGUUAUUAUCACGAUGGUGAAAUAUGUAAAUUACUUUAGCAUGCCUUAAAAGCUAAAGAGGUAAAAUUUGCAUUGAAAUCUCUAUGCAAAUGCCCUUAAUAAGUUCUGCUUGGACUUUGGUACCCUCAGAGAGUUUUACUGGAGAGGUUCUAACACAACUUUCUUCAACUCUAAUCAGGAUGGAGGGAAAAGUAAAAAUAUAAAUAGAGAGAGAGAGAGAGAGAAAGAGGUAAGCUGCAGGAAGAACUAUGAGAUAAAUGACUAGGUUACCUAUAAGCAGAAACUGCAACAGUGAUGCCCAAAGUAGCUUGUUUUAGGUUAUCCUUUGACACCUUCUAUCAUUUUUAAAGUCCAAGAGACAAUGUGUGCAUGCUGAAUGUUUCCUGCAGUCUCUGAGAGCUUUAUGCACUUCUUCUUUGCACUUCUGCUCCAGGUAUCAGACAGACCAAUCAGAGGUGAAGCAUUACUGGACCUAAUGCUCACCAGUGUGGAGGAGAUCAUGACAGAAGUUAAGAUCAGAGGCAGUUUGGGCUGCAGUGACCAUGCCCUAGCUGAGUUCAUGAUAUCAAGGAAAAUGGGCCUGACAAAGAGCAGAGGCAGGACCCUUAACUUCAGGAGAGCAAACUUCAGGUUGUUUAGAAAAUUGUUUGAUGAGAUCCACUCAGAAAUGAUCCUUAGGGACACAGGAACAGGACAGAGCUAGCAAUUCUUUAAGAAUACUUUUCUGAGACCAUAAGAGCUCUCCAUCCAAACAAUAAGAAAUCAAGCAGAGGAGGCAAGAAACUAGCA
ensembl:lncRNA